rnacentral:tRNA from 1 species
GGAGCUGGGGCUCAGCGUUAGAGCACUUGUCUCAUAUGUGUGAGGCCCUGAGUUCAAUCCUCAGCACCA